rnacentral:misc_RNA from 1 species
GUAUAUAUUAUAAAGGCACAACAUUCUAUUGACAUACAAUUGGGGUAAAAUGAAGCAACAUAGACCUGAAAAGGUCUACAAAAAGUGCACAGGUGGAGAUAUAAAGAUGACAAGGUGUGCACAUUGCUCCCUGGAGAGCCAGCAGCAACCCGUCAGGUUUAUUUCAAUAAUGAUCCUUCCGCAGGUUCACCUACGGAAA